AUAUAAACUCUAAGGCCGUUUUUAUUAAAUAAGUUGGUUUACGGAUCCGCCGACCCGAAUUUUCGCUAAUUCAAAUAAAAAUAAACGCACAUUUGUCCUUAAAAAUUAUUUCGCCGACCUCAUAUUUCUCGAUUUACUAAGAAAAUUUUAAACGGAAUUUUUGUGUUUACGUUUCGUAUUCUGGUUCCUAUUACUGCAUUAAAAAAUCGUACACCAGUGCACCGGAACGUGACUGGUAAGCUUUCCCCGACACCCAAAAGCGAAAACAAGUCGCCAUCUUCUUGACGAUACUCGCUUUCAGUCGCUUCCGUCAUCGGACAUUUUCAAUUUUUACCAAGUUGAUGAAACAUCAUUUUUUUUAUUGAUAAUUAAAGAAAUUAAGACAUAAACGGUUCAUUAUCUUAAGAAAAGAGGCUGAAGCAUUGUAUUUGCAGUGUGUAGCAGUUUAUUUGAUAAAAAAUACAACUUUUUAUCACCUCUAACAUUUUUGCAAGUUCCGGUGCUUGUUACUCGAAAACGUACAUCAACCUAAAUUUCGGCGGUAAAAUAAGUUUGUUACUUCAUUUAAACGUGAUAAAAGUUGCC
rnacentral:lncRNA from 1 species